UUAAGCGACUAAGCGUACACGGUGGAUGCCCUGGCAGUCAGAGGCGAUGAAGGACGUGCUAAUCUGCGAUAAGCGUCGGUAAGGUGAUAUGAACCGUUAUAACCGGCGAUUUCCGAAUGGGGAAACCCAGUGUGAUUCGUCACACUAUCAUUAACUGAAUCCAUAGGUUAAUGAGGCGAACCGGGGGAACUGAAACAUCUAAGUACCCCGAGGAAAAGAAAUCAACCGAGAUUCCCCCAGUAGCGGCGAGCGAACGGGGAGCAGCCCAGAGCCUGAAUCAGUGUGUGUGUUAGUGGAAGCGUCUGGAAAGGCGCGCGAUACAGGGUGACAGCCCCGUACACAAAAAUGCACAUACUGUGAGCUCGAUGAGUAGGGCGGGACACGUGGUAUCCUGUCUGAAUAUGGGGGGACCAUCCUCCAAGGCUAAAUACUCCUGACUGACCGAUAGUGAACCAGUACCGUGAGGGAAAGGCGAAAAGAACCCCGGCGAGGGGAGUGAAAAAGAACCUGAAACCGUGUACGUACAAGCAGUGGGAGCACGCUUAGGCGUGUGACUGCGUACCUUUUGUAUAAUGGGUCAGCGACUUAUAUUCUGUAGCAAGGUUAACCGAAUAGGGGAGCCGAAGGGAAACCGAGUCUUAACUGGGCGUUAAGUUGCAGGGUAUAGACCCGAAACCCGGUGAUCUAGCCAUGGGCAGGUUGAAGGUUGGGUAACACUAACUGGAGGACCGAACCGACUAAUGUUGAAAAAUUAGCGGAUGACUUGUGGCUGGGGGUGAAAGGCCAAUCAAACCGGGAGAUAGCUGGUUCUCCCCGAAAGCUAUUUAGGUAGCGCCUCGUGAAUUCAUCUCCGGGGGUAGAGCACUGUUUCGGCAAGGGGGUCAUCCCGACUUACCAACCCGAUGCAAACUGCGAAUACCGGAGAAUGUUAUCACGGGAGACACACGGCGGGUGCUAACGUCCGUCGUGAAGAGGGAAACAACCCAGACCGCCAGCUAAGGUCCCAAAGUCAUGGUUAAGUGGGAAACGAUGUGGGAAGGCCCAGACAGCCAGGAUGUUGGCUUAGAAGCAGCCAUCAUUUAAAGAAAGCGUAAUAGCUCACUGGUCGAGUCGGCCUGCGCGGAAGAUGUAACGGGGCUAAACCAUGCACCGAAGCUGCGGCAGCGACGCUGAUGCGUUGUUGGGUAGGGGAGCGUUCUGUAAGCCUGUGAAGGUGUGCUGUGAGGCAUGCUGGAGGUAUCAGAAGUGCGAAUGCUGACAUAAGUAACGAUAAAGCGGGUGAAAAGCCCGCUCGCCGGAAGACCAAGGGUUCCUGUCCAACGUUAAUCGGGGCAGGGUGAGUCGACCCCUAAGGCGAGGCCGAAAGGCGUAGUCGAUGGGAAACAGGUUAAUAUUCCUGUACUUGGUGUUACUGCGAAGGGGGGACGGAGAAGGCUAUGUUGGCCGGGCGACGGUUGUCCCGGUUUAAGCGUGUAGGCUGGUUUUCCAGGCAAAUCCGGAAAAUCAAGGCUGAGGCGUGAUGACGAGGCACUACGGUGCUGAAGCAACAAAUGCCCUGCUUCCAGGAAAAGCCUCUAAGCAUCAGGUAACAUCAAAUCGUACCCCAAACCGACACAGGUGGUCAGGUAGAGAAUACCAAGGCGCUUGAGAGAACUCGGGUGAAGGAACUAGGCAAAAUGGUGCCGUAACUUCGGGAGAAGGCACGCUGAUAUGUAGGUGAAGUCCCUCGCGGAUGGAGCUGAAAUCAGUCGAAGAUACCAGCUGGCUGCAACUGUUUAUUAAAAACACAGCACUGUGCAAACACGAAAGUGGACGUAUACGGUGUGACGCCUGCCCGGUGCCGGAAGGUUAAUUGAUGGGGUCAGCGCAAGCGAAGCUCUUGAUCGAAGCCCCGGUAAACGGCGGCCGUAACUAUAACGGUCCUAAGGUAGCGAAAUUCCUUGUCGGGUAAGUUCCGACCUGCACGAAUGGCGUAAUGAUGGCCAGGCUGUCUCCACCCGAGACUCAGUGAAAUUGAACUCGCUGUGAAGAUGCAGUGUACCCGCGGCAAGACGGAAAGACCCCGUGAACCUUUACUAUAGCUUGACACUGAACAUUGAGCCUUGAUGUGUAGGAUAGGUGGGAGGCUUUGAAGUGUGGACGCCAGUCUGCAUGGAGCCGACCUUGAAAUACCACCCUUUAAUGUUUGAUGUUCUAACGUUGACCCGUGAUCCGGGUUGCGGACAGUGUCUGGUGGGUAGUUUGACUGGGGCGGUCUCCUCCUAAAGAGUAACGGAGGAGCACGAAGGUUGGCUAAUCCUGGUCGGACAUCAGGAGGUUAGUGCAAUGGCAUAAGCCAGCUUGACUGCGAGCGUGACGGCGCGAGCAGGUGCGAAAGCAGGUCAUAGUGAUCCGGUGGUUCUGAAUGGAAGGGCCAUCGCUCAACGGAUAAAAGGUACUCCGGGGAUAACAGGCUGAUACCGCCCAAGAGUUCAUAUCGACGGCGGUGUUUGGCACCUCGAUGUCGGCUCAUCACAUCCUGGGGCUGAAGUAGGUCCCAAGGGUAUGGCUGUUCGCCAUUUAAAGUGGUACGCGAGCUGGGUUUAGAACGUCGUGAGACAGUUCGGUCCCUAUCUGCCGUGGGCGCUGGAGAACUGAGGGGGGCUGCUCCUAGUACGAGAGGACCGGAGUGGACGCAUCACUGGUGUUCGGGUUGUCAUGCCAAUGGCACUGCCCGGUAGCUAAAUGCGGAAGAGAUAAGUGCUGAAAGCAUCUAAGCACGAAACUUGCCCCGAGAUGAGUUCUCCCUGACUCCUUGAGAGUCCUGAAGGAACGUUGAAGACGACGACGUUGAUAGGCCGGGUGUGUAAGCGCAGCGAUGCGUUGAGCUAACCGGUACUAAUGAACCGUGAGGCUUAACCUU
rnacentral:rRNA from 1 species